rnacentral:rRNA from 1 species
AACGGCCAUCCCAUGCUGAAUAUACCGGUUCUCGUUAGAUCACCGAAGUCAAGCAUCAUUGGGCGCGGUCAGUACUUCGGUGGGUGACCACCUGGGAACACCGCGUGCCGUUG